UCUGAUCGUGUAUUUUACACCCCCAUUGCUUGCUGCCUCCCUCCCCUCCCCUCCCCUCUCCUUCCCUUCCCUUCCAUCUCCUCUUCGGUUGGACUCCCCUCCAUUUUGGCACACGCACGGAGAGAUUUAUAUAGUUAGGGUGGUGCGCACCAGCCUCUCACCAACGAGACCAGACGGGAAGGGGAGGAGGGAGGUUAGCGCACACCAGCCGCUGAGAGAAGGGUAUUCCAGCCACAACCACUGGUGUACAUGCUUAGAUUGACUAGCCAGGUGACGUUCGAGAAGCAGAGCUCGAGUGGCACGGGUGGGGUGGCUAGCCGGCGGUGCAAUCUUUUAUGGAAGGAGUUCGCUUUCAUGGCCUCCCGUGUGCUCGGGUGAGGUGUCAAAAUCAGGGACGCAUGGAUCUGUUUCAAGGUCUAAAAAUAGUCAGAGCUAGGGUUUCAACCUAUGGACAAUUGAGACAUUUUCUAUGUGAUGUUGAGCCAUCUUUAGUCUAUAAAUAGAUAGGUUACGACUAGAGUUUCACUCGCACCUUGAGAGAAAGAGAGUAUGCUUAUAGUUCUUUGUUGAGAUAGUAAUUUGUAUUAGGUUUAAUUAUCACUCAUUACUCUUCACUUGUAUUUGUCUCAUGUAUAUAUUUUUUUUGAAUUAAUUAUGAAUUAAAUUUGGAG
rnacentral:lncRNA from 1 species